rnacentral:pre_miRNA from 1 species
ACUUGGCUGUGUGUGGAUGGUGUUCAGCACCAGGGACAGGUGUGUUUGCCAUUGUGUGGAUAGUAUUCAGCACCAGGGACAGGUGUGUUUGGCU